CCUAUACUGCCUCCUCACAUUGGGGUUGUGAGGUAGCAAGUCUUUAUCUAUAAAACUCUUUUCUGGGAUAAAAUUCUUCACCGGCCACCAUUCCCAGAAUUUAUGAUAUGCUAUCUCACUGACGAACCGGUCUUGCUAUAUCUCAAGUUUACUCGUUCUAGCAAUACCCCCACCUGAGGUUCACCUCCUUCUCCAACUACUUCUUCUCCUCCUACUUCCUCCUCAUUACCUACUAUAUCCUAUCUCCAGUUAACGAAUUGUAGGAGAGGUAGAGUAUUCCCCACUACCAGUAGCUGAGCCUUCAGACGACUAAGAAGAAACAUUUACUUACGUUUGGUUAGUGGGUGAUGCUGGAGGUGUGUCUCUUAGCCUAUUCCUCUCCGGCCAGUUAUGGAUAAACUCUGGCACGGAAUCUGAGGAGAUCUCCCGAGAGAGCUCGUACUCACUCCCCGACAUGUCAAUAGCUCUAUCAAUUACCUUCAUCAUCUUUCUUGUCCUUUUAAUAUUUUCCCAGAGUUGAGGAGUGAGUUUCAUCAUUUUCUGUUUCCCUCCACGGGAGGAUUUCCUCUGCCUAGUUGUUUAGAGCCUUUACCUAGUUGUCUCACCAUUGUUUGCAAACACAAUCCAAAUAAAUCUGUUAGUAUCAGUUGCAGUAGUGAAGAAGCAGAAUUGCAGAAACAAA
rnacentral:lncRNA from 1 species